UAAGCGAUGGGGUGACGCAGGAAGGUAGCCGUACCAGUCAGUGGUUGUACUGGGGUAAGCCUGUAGGACGACAUCUAGGCAAAUCCGGAUGUCAUAUGUCUGAGAGGUGAUGCAUAGCCGUUUGAGGCGAAUUCGGUGAUCCUAUGCUGCCAAGAAAAACCUCUAGCGAGCCAACACACGGCCCGUACCCCAAACCAACACAGGUGGUCAGGUAGAGAAUACUAAGGCGUACGAGUGAACUAUGGUUAAGGAACUCGGCAAAAUACCCCCGUAACUUCGGGAGAAGGGGGACCCACAUACCGUCAACACCCUUGCGGUGGGCAGCGGUCGUGGGUGGCACAAACCAGUGAGAAGCGACUGUUUACUAAAAACACAGGUCCGUGCGAAGUCGCAAGACGAUGUAUACGGACUGACGCCUGCCCGGUGCUGGAAGGUUAAGAGGACCGGUUAACCCUUCGGGGUGAAGCUGAGAAUUUAAGCCCCAGUAAACGGCGGUGGUAACUAUAACCAUCCUAAGGUAGCGAAAUUCCUUGUCGGGUAAGUUCCGACCUGCACGAAUGGCGUAACGACUUCUCAACUGUCUCAACCAUAGACUCGGCGAAAUUGCACUACGAGUAAAGAUGCUCGUUACGCGCGGCAGGACGAAAAGACCCCGGGACCUUCACUACAACUUGGUAUUGAUGUUCGGUACGGUUUGUGUAGGAUAGGUGGGAGACUGUGAAGCGGGCACGCCAGUGUUUGUGGAGUCAUUGUUGAAAUACCACUCUGAUCGUAUUGGACCUCUAACCUCGGACCGUAUAUCCGGUCCAGGAACAGUGCCUGGUGGGUAGUUUAACUGGGGCGGUUGCCUCCUAAAAUGUAACGGAGGCGCCCAAAGGUUCCCUCAACCUGGACGGCAAUCAGGUGUUGAGUGUAAGUGCACAAGGGAGCUUGACUGCGAGACUUACAGGUCGAGCAGGGACGAAAGUCGGGACUAGUGAUCCGGCACCUCUGAGUGGAAGGGGUGUCGCUCAACGGAUAAAAGGUACCCCGGGGAUAACAGGCUGAUCUUCCCCAAGAGUCCAUAUCGACGGGAUGGUUUGGCACCUCGAUGUCAGCUCGUCGCAUCCUGGGGCUGGAGCAGGUCCCAAGGGUUGGGCUGUUCGCCCAUUAAAGCGGCACGCGAGCUGGGUUUAGAACGUCGUGAGACAGUUCGGUCUCUAUCCGCCGCGCGCGUCAGAAGCUUGAGGAAAGCUGUCCCUAGUACGAGAGGACCGGGACGGACGAACCUCUGGUAUACCAGUUGUCCCACCAGGGGCAUCGCUGGAUGGCUACGUUCGGAAAGGAUAACCGCUGAAAGCAUCUAAGCGGGAAACCUUCUCCAAGACCAGGCUUCUCACCCUCUAGGAGGGAUAAGGCCCCCCGCAGACCACGGGAUUGAUAGGCCAGACCUACACGCACAGCAAUGUGUUCAGGGAACUGGUACUAACCGGCCGAAAACUUACAAAC
rnacentral:rRNA from 1 species